UACGUAGGGUCCGAGCGUUGUUCGGAUUCAUUGGGCGUAAAGGGUGCGUAGGCGGCGCGGUAAGUCGGGUGUGAAAUCUCGGAGCUUAACUCCGAAACUGCAUUCGAUACUGCCGUGCUUGAGGACUGGAGAGGAGACUGGAAUUUACGGUGUAGCGGUGAAAUGCGUAGAUAUCGUAAGGAAGACCAGUGGCGAAGGCGGGUCUCUGGACAGUUCCUGACGCUGAGGCACGAAGGUCAGGGGAGCAAACGGG
rnacentral:rRNA from 1 species